UAGGGAAUCUUCCGCAAUGGGCGAAAGCCUGACCCAGCGACGCCGCGUGAGGGAAGAAGAUCUUCGGAUUGUAAACCUUAGUCAACAGGGAAGAAGAAAGUGACGGUACCUGUGGAGGAAGCCACGGCUAACUACGUGCCAGCAGCCGCGGUAAUACGUAGGUGGCGAGCGUUAUCCGGAAUUACUGGGUGUAAAGGGUGUGUAGGCGGGCUUUUAAGUCAGAUGUGAAAACUAUGGGCUCAACCCAUAGCCUGCAUUUGAAACUGGAGGUCUUGAGAGUGGGAGAGGUAAACGGAAUUCCGAGUGUAGCGGUGAAAUGCGUAGAUAUUCGGAGGAACACCGGUGGCGAAGGCGGUUUACUGGCCCACAACUGACGCUGAGACACGAAAGCGUGGGGAGCAAACAGG
rnacentral:rRNA from 2 species